UGACAACCUGGUUGAUCCUGCCAGUAGUCAUAUGCUUGUCUCAAAGAUUAAGCCAUGCAUGUCUAAGUACAAACUAUAUUAAAGUGAAACCGCGAAAGGCUCAUUAAAUCAGUUAUGGUUCCUUAGAUCGUACCACAAUUACUUGGAUAACUGUGGUAAUUCUAGAGCUAAUACAUGCUAACAGAGUUCUGACCGGAAACGGAAGGAAUGCUUUUAUUAGAUCAAAACCAAUCGGCUACGGUAAUGUUACGGCAUUAUCGUUUGUCGCUCAAUAAAUGGUGAAUCUGAAUAACUUUAUGCUGAUCGCAUGGUCUUGUACCGGCGACGCAUCUUUCAAAUGUCUGCCUUAUCAACUGUCGAUGGUAGGAUCUGCGCCUACCAUGGUUGUAACGGGUAACGGGGAAUCAGGGUUCGAUUCCGGAGAGGGAGCCUGAGAAACGGCUACCACAUCCAAGGAAGGCAGCAGGCGCGCAAAUUACCCACUCCCGGCACGGGGAGGUAGUGACGAAAAAUAACGAUACGGGACUCAUCCGAGGCCCCGUAAUCGGAAUGAGUACACUUUAAAUCCUUUAACAAGGACCAAUUGGAGGGCAAGUCUGGUGCCAGCCGCCGCGGUAAUUCCAGCUCCAAUAGCGUAUAUUAAAGUUGUUGCGGUUAAAAAGCUCGUAGUUGUAUUUGUGUUCCGCACUGUCGGUUCACCGCCCGCGGUGCUAACUGGCAUGUAUGUGGAACGUCCUGCCGGUGGAUGUUUAAAUAGGUUAUGUUAUUAUUCCUUGUUCAUACCCAUUAUUCAAAGGUAUUCAAAGUCAUUUCACGAUGUUUUUGGUACUGGAGAUUUUGGGACUUUUGGCAAGUGUUUUAGUGCAUAUACUUAUACAUCCGACUUUUAAAAAUCCUGUCGCGGUGCUCUUAACUGAGUGUCGAGGCGGGCCGGCACGUUUACUUUGAACAAAUUAAAGUGCUCAAAGCAGGCUAAUUAAUGCCUGAAUAAUUAGUGCAUGGAAUAAUAGAACAGGACCUUGGUUCUAUUUUGUUGGUUUUCGGAACCCCAAGGUAAUGAUUAAUAGGGACAGAUGGGGGCAUUCGUAUUGCGACGUUAGAGGUGAAAUUCUUGGAUCGUCGCAAGACGGACUAAAGCGAAAGCAUUUGCCAAAGAUGUUUUCAUUAAUCAAGAACGAAAGUCAGAGGCUCGAAGGCGAUCAGAUACCGCCCUAGUUCUGACCAUAAACGAUGCCAGCUAGCGAUCCGCCAAAGUUCCUCCGAUGACUUGGCGGGCAGCUUCCGGGAAACCAAAGCUUUUGGGUUCCGGGGGAAGUAUGGUUGCAAAGCUGAAACUUAAAGGAAUUGACGGAAGGGCACCACCAGGAGUGGAGCCUGCGGCUUAAUUUGACUCAACACGGGAAACCUCACCAGGCCCAGACACUGGAAGGAUUGACAGAUUGAGAGCUCUUUCUUGAUUCAGUGGGUGGUGGUGCAUGGCCGUUCUUAGUUGGUGGAGCGAUUUGUCUGGUUAAUUCCGAUAACGAACGAGACUCUAGCCUACUAAAUAGACGUUACACUUUCCAGUAUCUCGAAGGCUCACAUCUCUCGUUUACUUCAUCUCAUUCACUAUAUAGUUUUUAUGGGUUGGAGAGUGAGGGUAGCAUUUCGGUGUUUAUUCUCUUCUUUCCGCUUAUUUGGCAAUAUUUGUGUUUGGGUGGUACGGGAGUUUGUGGUUUUUACUACUGGCGUACAUAUAAUUCUUCUUAGAGGGACAGGCGGCUUCUAGCCGCACGAGAUUGAGCAAUAACAGGUCUGUGAUGCCCUUAGAUGUUCUGGGCCGCACGCGCGCUACACUGAAGGAAUCAGCGUGUCUUCCCUGGCCGAAAGGUCCGGGUAACCCGCUGAACCUCCUUCGUGCUAGGGAUUGGGGCUUGAAAUUAUUCCCCAUGAACGAGGAAUUCCUAGUAAACGCGAGUCAUAAGCUCGCGUUGAUUAGGUCCCUGCCCUUUGUACACACCGCCCGUCGCUACUACCGAUUGAAUGAUUUAGUGAGGUCUUCGGACUGGUACGCGGUGAUGUUUCGACAUUACCGAUGCCGCUGGGAAGAUGACCAAACUUGAUUAUUUAGAGG
rnacentral:rRNA from 1 species